rnacentral:ncRNA from 1 species
UAAAAGUUUAAUUUUGGUUUAUUAAUUUAAUUUAUUUUUUUUUUACAUGUAAAUUAUUGUGAGAAUUUUAAUUUAAUUUAAAUAAUUAAAUUGUUGAUAAAAGUUGCAGUAUAAAGAUUUAAUAAUUUAAGAAAUUAAGAAUUAUAAAUAAAUUUUAUAACUAACAAAUUUUGUGCCAGCAGUUGCGGUUAUACAAUUAGUUUAAUUAAAUUUUAUUUAAUGGUAAUUAAAGGUUUAUUUUUGAAAUAAUUUAUUGUUUGUGAGGUUAAAUUUUAAAUAAUAGAUUUAUUUAGGGGAUAUUAUUUGUUUAUUUAUGAAAUUUUUGUUUAAACUAGGAUUAGAUACCCUAUUAUUUUAAAUGUAAAGAUUUUAUUAUAGUAGUAAUAGUUUUGUUCUUCAAAUUAAAAAAAUUUGGCGGUAUUUUAGUCAAUUUAGAGGAACUUGUUCAAUAAAUGAUAAUCCACGAUUAGUGUUACUUAAUUUAUAAAAGUUUAUAUACCGUCGUUAUAGAAGAUUUUAAAAGAAUUAUAAUUUUUAGGAUUUAUUAAUAUAGAAUAUAUCAGAUCAAGGUGUAGCUUAUAAUUAAGUUGAAAUGAGUUACAAUAAAAUUAUUUAAAUGGAUUAUUAGCUUAAAGGUUUUUAUGAAGGUGGAUUUAAUAGUAAUUUAAUUAAUAUAAGUUAUGUGAUUUUUGCUCUAAAAUAUGUACAUAUCGCCCGUCACUCUUAAGUAUAAUUAAGAUAAGUCGUAACAAAGUAGAUUUACUGGAAAGUGAAUCUAGAAUGAC